AAAUUACUGGCUUUAGUAAGUCGAGCGGUAGCACGAAGGAGCUUGCUUCUUUGCUGAAGAGUGGCGGACGGGUGAGUAAUGUCUGGGAAACUGCCUGAUGGAGUUAAAUAACUACUGGAAACGGUAGCUAAUACCGCAUAACGUCGCAAGACCAUUGAGGGGGACCUUUUAAUUCCUCUUGCCAUAAAUUCGGAUGUGCCCAGAUGGUAUUAGGUUGUUGGUGGGGUAACGGCUCACCUAGGCGACGAUCCCUAGCUGGUCUGAGAGGAUGACCGGGCACACUGGAACUGAGACACGGUCCAUACUCCUACGGGAGGGAUCAAAAGGGAAUAUUGCACAAUGGGCGCAAGCCUGAUGCAGCCAUGCCGCGUGUAUGAAGAAGGGCUUCGGGUUGUAUAGUACUUUCAUUACCGAUAAGGCCCUAAGGGAGUAAUAUUUAGAAUACCUUUGCUCAUUGACGUUACCCGCAGAAUAAGCACCUGCUAACUCCCUGCCAGCUGCCGCGGUAAUACGGAGGGUGCAAGCGUUCUUCGUAAUUACUGUGCGUAGAGGGCACGCAGGCGGGGGGUUAAGUCGGAUGUGAUAUCCCCGGGCUCAACCUGGGAACUGCAUCUGAUACUGGCAAGCUUGAGUCUCGUAGAGGGUUUUAGAAUUCCGUGAAAUUCCAAGGGGUGAAAUGCAUAUAGAUCUGGAGGAAUACCGGUGGCGAAGGCUGCCCCCCGGACGAAGACUGACGCUCAUGUGCGAAAGCGUGGAUCAGCAUACUAUAAAUUCUAUACCCUGGGGAAAUAC
rnacentral:rRNA from 1 species